UACGGAGGGAGCUAGCGUUGUUCGGAAUUACUGGGCGUAAAGCGCACGUAGGCGGCGAUCUAAGUCAGAGGUGAAAGCCCGGGGCUCAACCCCGGAAUAGCCUUUGAGACUGGAUUGCUUGAAUCCAGGAGAGGUGAGUGGAAUUCCGAGUGUAGAGGUGAAAUUCGUAGAUAUUCGCAAGAACACCAGUGGCGAAGGCGGCUCACUGGCCCGAUACUGACGCUGAGGUGCGAAAGCGUGGGGAGCAAACAGG
rnacentral:rRNA from 1 species